rnacentral:lncRNA from 1 species
CGGCAGGUAGCCUAGUGGUUAGAGCGUAGAAGCGGCAGGUAGCCUAGUGGUUAGAGUGUAGAGGAGGCAGGUAGCCUAGUGGUUAGAGUAUAGAGGAGGUAGGUAGUCUAGUGGUUAGAGUGUAGAGGAGGCAGGUAGCCUAGUGGUUAGAGUGUAUAGGAGGCAGGUAGCCUAGUGGUUAGAGUGUAGAGGAGGCAGGUAGUCCAGUGGUUAGAGUGUAGAGAAGGCAGGUAGUCCAGUGGUUAGAGUGUAUAGGAGGCAGGUAGCCUAGUGGUUAGAGUGUAGAGGAGGCAGGUAGUCUAGUGGUUAGAGUGUGGAGGAGGCAGGUAGUCUAGUGGUUAGAGUGUAGAGGAGGCAGGUAGCCUAGUGGUUAGAGUGUAGAGGAGGCAGGUAGUCUAGUGGUUAGAGUGUAGAGGAGGCAGGUAGUCUAGUGGUUAGAGUGUAGAGGAGGCAGGUAGCCUAGUGGUUAGAGUGUAGAGGAGGCAGGUAGCAUAGUGGUUAGAGUGUAGAGGAGGCAGGUAGCCUAGUGGUUAGAGUGUAGAGGAGGUAGGUAGUCUAGUGGUUAGAGUGUAGGGGAGGCAGGUAGUCUAGUGGUUAGAGGUGGCAUGUAGUCUAGUGGUUAGAGUGUAGAGGAGGCAGGUAGUCUAGUGGUUAGAGUGUAGGGGUGGCAGGUAGUCUAGUGGUUAGAGUGUAGAGGAGACAGGUAGCCUAGUGGUUAGAGGAGGCAGGUAGCCUAGUGGUUAGAGUGUAGAGGAGGCAGGUAGCCUAGUGGUUAGAGGAGGCAGGUAGCCUAGUGGUUAGAGGAGGCAGGUAGCCUAGUGGUUAGAGGUGGCAGGUAGUCUAGUGGUUAGAGUGUGGAGGAGGCAGGUAGUCUAGUGGUUAGAGUGUAGAGGAGGCAGGUAGCCUAGUGUUUAGAGGAGGCAGGUAGCCUAGUGGUUAGUGUAGAGGAGGCAGGUAGUCUAGUGGUUAGAGUGUAGAGGAGGCAGGUAGCCUAGUGGUUAGAGUGUAGAGGAGGCAGGUAGUCUAGUGGUUAGAGUGUAGAGGAGGCAGGUGGCCUAGUGGUUAGAGGAGGCAGGCAGCCUAGUGGUUAGAGUGUAGAGGAGGCAGGUAGCCUAGUGGUUAGAGGAGGCAGGUAGCCUAGUGGUUAGAGUGUAGAGGAGGCAGGUAGCCUAGUGGUUAGAGGAUUGGGCCAAU